UUCCAGACUCCUACGGGAGGCAGCAGUGGGGAAUAUUGCACAAUGGGGGGAACCCUGAUGCAGCGACGCCGCGUGGGUGAAGGAGCACCUCGGUGCGUAAAGCCCUAUCGGCAGGGAAGAAGGAGGACGGUACCUGACUAAGAAGCCCCGGCUAACUACGUGCCAGCAGCCGCGGUAAUACGGAGGGGGCAAGCGUUAUCCGGAUUUACUGGGUGUAAAGGGGGCGCAGACGGCAGCGCAAGCCAGGAGUGAAAGCCCGGGGCCCAACCCCGGGACUGCUCUUGGAACUGCGCGGCUGGAGUGCAGGAGGGGCAGGCGGAAUUCCUGGUGUAGCGGUGAAAUGCGUAGAUAUCAGGAGGAACACCGGUGGCGAAGGCGGCCUGCUGGACUGCGACUGACGUUGAGGCCCGAAAGCGUGGGGAGCAAACAGGAUUAGAUACCCGCGUAA
rnacentral:rRNA from 1 species